UACGUAGGGCGCAAGCGUUGUCCGGAAUUAUUGAGCGUAAAGAGCUCGUAGGCGGUUUGUCGCGUCUGCUGUGAAAACCUAAGGCUCAACCUUGGGCUUGCAGUGGGUACGGGCAGACUAGAGUGCGGUAGGGGUGACUGGAAUUCCUGGUGUAGCGGUGGAAUGCGCAGAUAUCAGGAGGAACACCGGUGGCGAAGGCGGCAUCCUGGACCAAUUCUGACGGCUGAGGAGCGAAAGCCAGGGGAGCAAGAGGG
rnacentral:rRNA from 1 species